UACGUAGGGUGCAAGCGUUAAUCGGAAUUACUGGGCGUAAAGCGUGCGCAGGCGGUUGUGUAAGACAGAUGUGAAAUCCCCGGGCUCAACCUGGGAACUGCAUUUGUGACUGCACAGCUGGAGUACGGCAGAGGGGGAUGGAAUUCCGCGUGUAGCAGUGAAAUGCGUAGAUAUGCGGAGGAACACCGAUGGCGAAGGCAAUCCCCUGGGCCUGCACUGACGCUCAUGCACGAAAGCGUGGGGAGCAAACAGG
rnacentral:rRNA from 1 species